rnacentral:rRNA from 1 species
GACGAACGCUGGCGGCGUGCUUAACACAUGCCAGUCGAACGGAAAGGCCCUGCUUUUGUGGGGUGCUCGAGUGGCGAACGGGUGAGUAACACGUGAGUAACCUGCCCUUGACUUUGGGAUAACUUCAGGAAACUGGGGCUAAUACCGGAUAGGAGCUCCUGCUGCAUGGUGGGGGUUGGAAAGUUUCGGCGGUUGGGGAUGGACUCGCGGCUUAUCAGCUUGUUGGUGGGGUAGUGGCUUACCAAGGCUUUGACGGGUAGCCGGCCUGAGAGGGUGACCGGCCACAUUGGGACUGAGAUACGGCCCAGACUCCUACGGGAGGCAGCAGUGGGGAAUAUUGCACAAUGGGCGGAAGCCUGAUGCAGCAACGCCGCGUGCGAGAUGACGGCCUUCGGGUUGUAAACCGCUUUCGCCUGUGACGAAGCGUGAGUGACGGUAAUGGGUAAAGAAGCACCGGCUAACUACGUG